AUUGAACGCUGGCGGCAGGCCUAACACAUGCAAGUCGAACGAGUGGCGGACGGGUGAGUAAUGUCUGGGAAACUGCCCGAUGGAGGGGGAUAACUACUGGAAACGGUAGCUAAUACCGCAUACCAUCGGCUGUGCCCAGAGGGGAUUAGCUAGUAGGUGGGGUAACGGCUCACCUAGGCGACGAUCCCUCGCUGGUCUGAGAGGUUGACCAGCCACACUGACCCUAGGAGACGAUCCAGACGCGUACAGGGGGCAGCAGUUGGGAAUAUGGCACAAUGGGGGCAAGCCUGGUGCAGAAGCGCCGCGAGCAGGAUGACGGGCUUCGGGUUGUAAACCGCUUUCAGCCAUGACGCGGUAGUAGCAGAAGAAGCACCGGCUAACUACGUGCCAGCAGCCGCGGUAAUAC
rnacentral:rRNA from 1 species